UCGUCAUGUUUGUAUGUACAUACAUAUGUAUGUACGUAAAAGGUCGUAAAGCUCCUUUGGUUGACCGAUAUCGUGAAUCAAACUUUCAAUCUUCAUUGGAAACGUUUACGAAAGCAAAGUCGCGAAUUUGACAUUGACACAGACGAUUGAGGAAGAGGAGAGAAAGAGAAGGAGAAGCAGAGGGAGAGAGAGAGAGAGAGAGAGAGAAGGAGAACAAGGCUUAUUGUAAGACCCCCGCAACGACACACACACACUCAUGCAGAGAUACGAGUAUGCAUGUGUGUGCUAAUUAUUUGCGUGUACAAGUUUCAAUGUCAUUACCACAGAAGAGAGCAGAAGAGAAUGGAUUUGAGCAAAGCAGAUAGUGGAGCAGAACACAAGAGAGUGGAGCUAGACAGGGUCUCCCCUAUACAUACAUGUAGGUUAUUGCCAAGGAGGGGGGCUUUUCUAAUCUUGAGAGUGACCCCAGAGGCAAAAGAACACACAUUUGAAGGGCGCGCGCACUGCUCCAGCGAACCGUCCAUUCAUUCACCUGAUGGGCGACAGUGAUCACAUGAAGUAUAUGUACGCACGCUUGAAUCCACAUCCACGCACUGCUUUGG